ACCCACAUACUACCACAGAAGUGGGUCAGAUCUAUUGGAAUAUAUACCAGGGCGGUGGAGAAGACACGUUGGAUCCGACCCACUUCUGUGCCCUUCAACAACCCUUCGACUUUCAAGAAUUUGCACAAACCUAAAGCUCUGCCUCCGUUUACCUUUAAUGACUUCCUUAUUUUUAGUGGAAAGAAACCCUCGGUCUCUAAAGCAAGGAUUGAAAGCAUUGAUUGAAGGCAACAUGAAACAAAGGCCAAAGGCACGCAGGAGAGACAUGUUAAUAUAGAUGGACUGGAUGAGCUUUCUAAAGUUGCUCAAGUAUGUUUAUGACAAAAAAUACAUAUUCUCCUUCUUAAUGUUUAUUUUGUAAUCUAUAACUAUCAUAGAUAGGUAAAGUGGGCAGGCUGGCUCAGGUUGUGUGUGUCAUGGUCUAAAUUCAUUUAUUUUUUCAUGUCUUCGAAUGU